GUGGGUACCAAAGGAGUGUUUGGAAAAGAGUGUUGAAAUGUUGAGGGUAUUUGCUGACGUGACAGUUCUUUAAAAUAUGAUUGAGACAGUUUAUGAAAGCGUUUGUGUGUGUUCUUUUUUUGUUUUUGGUUUCUGUUCUCUUGAAUUCUUUUUUUUUAGUGAAACACAAAAAUUAUGUUACUAAACCCUAUUUUUUAUACUUUUUCCUUUCUUUUAUUUUAAAUGUUUUUUCAUAUUAGUUUAAUUAAGAAAUUGUGAACAAUUUCGAGCAUAAAUUUAUAUAAAAAUAUUUUUCAAUGUAUGUAUAUAUACCUGCAAUAAUUGUUAGGGUUGAAUGC
rnacentral:lncRNA from 1 species